UACAGAGGGUGCGAGCGUUAAUCGGAAUUACUGGGCGUAAAGCGUGCGUAGACGGUCAUGUAAGUCGGAUGUGAAAGCCCCGGGCUCAACCUGGGAAUUGCAUUUGAGACUGCGUAGCUAGGGUGCGGAAGAGGGAAGCGGAAUUUCCGGUGUAGCGGUGAAAUGCGUAGAUAUCGGAAGGAACAUCAGUGGCGAAAGCGACUUCCUGGACCAGUACCGACGUCAGGCACGAAAGCGUGGGGAGCAAACAGG
rnacentral:rRNA from 1 species